rnacentral:rRNA from 1 species
GGCGGUUCGCCGCCGGCGACGUCGCGAGAAGUCCACUGAACCUUAUCAUUUAGAGGAAGGAGAAGUCGUAACAAGGUUUCCGUAGGUGAACCUGCGGAAGGAUCAUUGUCGAAACCUGCACAGCAGAGCAACCCGCGAACACGUUACACAACACAUCGUCGUCGGCGCCCUCGCGGCGUUCGACGGCACAACAACGAACCCCGGCGCGAUCUGCGCCAAGGAAAAUCAAACUCGAGAGCACGCCUCGCGUUGCCCCGUUCGCGGUGUGCGCGGGAGGCMGUAGCUUCUUAUGAACACAAACGACUCUCGGCAACGGAUAUCUCGGCUCUCGCAUCGAUGAAGAACGUAGCGAAAUGCGAUACUUGGUGUGAAUUGCAGAAUCCCGUGAACCAUCGAGUCUUUGAACGCAAGUUGCGCCCGAAGCCAUUAGGCCGAGGGCACGUCUGCAUGGGCGUCACGCAUCGCGUCGCCCCCAAGACCAAGUCCCUGAUGACGGGCGUUGGGCUUGGGGGCGGAUAUUGGCCUCCCGUGCCCCUUCGGUGCGGUUGGCCCAAAAACAGAGUCCCCCCGGUGGACGCACGACAAGUGGUGGUUGAUAACAAGGCCCUCGCGUCGUGUCGUGCGUUAUCACUCCGGUGUUGGCGGCUCACAUGACCCCAACGGGUCGUCCGUGACGACUCUUCGACAGCGACCCCAUGUCAGGCGGGACUACCCGCUGAGUUUAAGCAUAUCAAUAAG